AAAAGGGAUGGGUCUAAUGUUCUCAUCAAAGAACAAAAGUCUGCAGCUGCUGUCCAUGUAGUGACCUCACAGGGAGUGGGAAGAUUUAUGAACCUUUGCAAGAUCAUUGGAUAUUCUUUUUGCUAGCAAAAAAAGAUGUGAAUGAUUCAGUAAUCAGAAGGCUCAAUCUUUGCAAAAUUACUGCUUCUGUUUUGAUGGGGAGAAAGGAUAAUACUCCGCAUUGUUGGCUCUGUAGGGAUACUGUGCUGCAUGCAAAACUUGAGAAUCUAUGACUUCCAAUAUUAAGAAAUGGAGCAUCUCAAAUAGAUUUGAUACAAUGUUUUCUUGUCUACUGGAGAAGAGUCCAGAACCUAACCAGAGGGGGAAAAACAUUUUGCAUUACAAGUCUGACUUGUCUAAAGGUGGCAGUCAAAAAUGGCAAAGCGAGGACUUGAGCUGGUAACUGAUACUGUCUUUAAUUCAGAGUCUGUCAUUGAUACGUUAUAUCAGUGAUUAGACUCUUGAUGCUUUGUUUUAAUGAAGGCAUGGCUUUUGUUUUGACAUCAUAGCAUGCCUUCUAUACAAAUCUGGAAACAAUCUGUCAUUGCCCAGAGGUACAUGGGCCAUAAAUAAGCAUUGGAGUGCUGCUGGUGUUAAUCUGCAGAGGCAUUUCGUGCUAUGGAGGUUUCAUGCUAGCUGAGAAAUACUUUUCAACAUUUGAAGUGGUUGGGCAUAGCGUACGUCUGAUAAAAUUGCCAACAGGAAUGUCAGGGAAUUUUUGUGUAUGUUUUUUUGCUCAGCUUUUUUUAGUAUAGUAUAGUAGAAUUGGCUUGGGUGGAUGUUGGAAUAAACGCUUCUGAAUAGUCUUGGUGUUCUGGGCACUGCAGUAAAACCAGUGAUGUGAGACUGGCAAACUGGUGAAGGCUGGCUGAACUGUGGAAACAGCAGAUGUCUGACUCCUGUGUUGCUUGUGGCUAGCUGCUGUACCAAUGUAUUUAAAUAAAAACAACUUCAUUAGUUGACAAGGGCAAACAGCGGAGUCCUAAAAGCUCAUGCAUACAGACCCAAACCUCCACAGAUGUGCAUUCAACUGGCACAAAAACAGCUGAGUUGGCACAGUACAAAACAAAAUGUGAGAACCAAAGUGGAAUCAUCCUGCAGCUCAAGAAAUUCUUGUCAAGCAGUAACCAGAAGUUUGAAGCAUUGACAGUUGUGAUCCAGCACCUCCAGUCUGAGGUAAAAACUUAGAACUGAUCUGCGUACUAGUUUUAGUUUGUUGAACUGUUUUCAACUGUGGUUUUUGAAUACAUCAGUAUACUGAUAAAUGUCUGUUUCCACUCCAGUUGCUGCAUUCUUGUUUGUUCCUCCUCCUAGAAUUUUUUUUUUUAACUUGUGUUACAUUGCAACUGCAGUUAACUAUAGGCAUAUUAACUAUAGGCCUCCACUUAAUGGUGCUGUUAGAAGAGAAUGCCUUGGUGUUAGUGUGGUUUUUAAAAAAAUUUAAUAUGUAUUUGUAGUCUAGAAAUAAUUUGAUUAAGUUGCACAUUUAAUAUAGUGAAAGCUAUUUUUCCUCUAGUUCAAAUCUGGUCAAUUCAGUAAGAGCAGCUGUUUUGUUUUUUUUUUCUUGUUAAACUCUGGAUUGGAACAUCUUUCUCUAAUAUAAUUUAAUAUUUUCGAAGCAAUUUGAUACGGAAAUUUUGGACGCCUGUCAUCUAAUCUGAAAUGGUGAAAUUUUUCCUGCUAAACUUCUACUCGGUCUUUUAAUUAAUUUAUAAUAAGCACUUUAAUUUUUGAUAAUUUUGUGAAAUUAAAAGUCUUGGCAUAGGCUUUUGUCUCAAAUAUAUUGUGUUUGCAACAUCUUAAAUGUCAGGAAUACUUUUGGUGUAUCUUUAUCUGAAUACAUAAGAAAUCUUCAUAUGCACAUACUUCUUUCAGGCUGUUUUACAAUGUGUUUACAGUCUAAGCAUGAUUUCCUUGCAAAUAAUGGGAAUG